GCAGUUACACCAAUUAGAGGAGGAAAAGAGGGAUCCGUUCCAUUUCAUUUCCAUACUCAGAACAUUUUCUUUCCUUAUCAUAUUGCAAAGCAAGAAAAAGAACUAAGGAGAGCUAGCUGAGAAGAGAGGGAGCUCGGAUGGCUACCAUGGGAGGAGAGAAAACCAACUAGCAAAACUAAACUCCAUCAACAUCAUCCUCCAUCUUCAUCUGCUCCACCAAAAGCUUCAUAUAUUCUAGAGAGAAAAAGAAAUGAGUGGAGAGUUUAAGCCUUGAUAAGGCUACGGGAGGAUUCAUGGAAGAAGAUAUGAUGAUUCUAGCAAGAUCUAGCAAAGCAUCUAGCAUCUUAGAGGAAGAAAUCUAAGAAGUAAGUUCUUUAAAACCCUAACUCUUAUUUAUAUCCCUAAGUUUCAUAUCUUGUUAGAUCUUAUUGAUAUUUUGAGUUAUGGGUUGAGGAACAUCAUAAGGAUGAUGUUCAAAAGUUAUAUGAACCAUUAAAAGCAUCCAAGUGGAAUCAAACAAGCAAAAAUUCGAUCCUAUGCAUAAAGGAUGAACAUAUGGUUAAAAGAACAUGAAUGGACUGUUAUGGACCGAGUUUGAGGACAUUUUGUGGUUGUAUUUUACGUUUAAAAAUUUAAUACGAAAGUGGUAUAUUAUACUUCUUUGUGUUAUAAAGAUAACCCAGUUGGAAUGAACCAAAACGGAGUUAAAAUAAAUCCGUGGUAUGAUUUUAGUAAAACAUGUAAAACGAACAAGUUAAAACUAUUUUUGGGGGCUGUUCUUGAGCCAAUGUUUAUGAUGGUCUAGAAUGGAGAAUUAAGUUUUGUUAUGGUGGGUUGUGCUCUUUAGAGUUACGGAUAUAACCCAAUUGGAAUGAAGCAAAAAGAAGCUAAAACGAAUUUAUAGUGAAUGUUUUAGUAAAACAUGUAAAAACUGAAAAUUUGUAGACUGCUGACCCUAAGGAAAAAUUUAGCUAGAAUUUCUAGAAAAUUCUGGAUUUCUAGGGUAGUAUAGUAAACUGAAUAAGGAAGCCAUAGCCUUUGGAACGGACCCAUUCCGAGUUCGGACGAGCGAGUUAUGGCGUUCUACAGUAAACACAUCAAAACUGUCCAAUUUGGAAAAUCAGAUCCAGACUUGUCUCUUGUAUGAAUUUUCUGUACUUGUGUGUUCCAAAUUUGAAAAUGGUUAAAGCAUAAAAGUUGUAUCCCCGGAAGUUAGCUAUGCGUGGGCGCAAAAAUCGUUCAAAAAUAUUUUGAAAUGAAUUAGUUAAUGAUUGUUUUAGCGAGAGAGGGUAAAACUGGAAAAAAAUUGAAUAACUUAACUGUCCAAAUAUUUGUGUGGCUAUUUUAGGGUAGUUGGCAUGUACCAAAAAUUAGGGCCUUUUGUGUGCUGAAAGUACACAUUAUCAGGAAGUUCCAGUCCAAAAAUGGGCUCAAUCCGACUUUUGAGGCGAGAGUUAUGACCAACUGAAAAUUUAAGAAUUAAAACUUGAAACUGAUAAAUAUGAACCUACACAACCCAGAAAAUUAUGAAAUAUUAACGGGAAGUGCGUGAUGAUACGAAGAAGGUUCCAUGUAAAUUUUAGGAUGUUUGGGUAAAGACUAAAUUUAUUAAAAAUGCUGCAAUUUUGAGCAUUAAUGGCCUUUUAAGAAAAUAGUAAAUAAAGCUGAAAAAUUAAGGGAAAAAUAUUUUGCGUGUAAAAUAUUUUUACCUAAGUAUGGCCAAAAAGGAUAAAAAUAAUAAGGUAUCUAAGUGUCAUUGAUAAAUAUGUUGUGGUCAAAAAAGUAAGAAAGAAAUAAUUAAAUAUUGAUUGAUAAGUUAUAUAAUGUAAUUUUUUGACUUAUUUGUAAUAGAAAUGGAUGAACAAAGACUAAGGACGGGUAAUAUGAUUAUCCCUAUAUUAAUAUUAUAAUUUGAUAAUAAAUAUCGGGUAUGCAAUGAAGAAUGAUGUACGAGGAAUGUUAAGCGAUGAAAGAGGUUGCGCAAUGGACGUUCGAUGAGCAUUUUGAGAUAAGCAAAAUCAAAGGCAAGUUUUUCAGUACUUGUUGCUUUGUGUUAUGUGAAAAUCUUGUGAGGUUAUUAUGUGCAUUAAGUGUUGCAAAUGCGAUGUAAACUGUUAAUAUUCAGUUGAUGAUCGAUAUUAAUUGUUCUAUGUGAACCUUAUAACAUGAG
rnacentral:lncRNA from 1 species